rnacentral:rRNA from 1 species
GAUGAACGCUGGCGGCGUGCCUAAUACAUGCAAGUCGAGCGAACGGACGAGAAGCUUGCUUCUCUGAUGUUAGCGGCGGACGGGUGAGUAACACGUGGAUAACCUACCUAUAAGACUGGGAUAACUUCGGGAAACCGGAGCUAAUACCGGAUAAUAUUUUGAACCGCAUGGUUCAAAAGUGAAAGACGGUCUUGCUGUCACUUAUAGAUGGAUCCGCGCUGCAUUAGCUAGUUGGUAAGGCAACGGCUUACCAAGGCAACGAUGCAUAGCCGACCUGAGAGGGUGAUCGGCCACACUGGAACUGAGACACGGUCCAGACUCCUACGGGAGGCAGCAGUAGGGAAUCUUCCGCAAUGGGCGAAAGCCUGACGGAGCAACGCCGCGUGAGUGAUGAAGGUCUUCGGAUCGUAAAACUCUGUUAUUAGGGAAGAACAUAUGUGCAAGUAACUGUGCACAUCUUGACGGUACCUAAUCAGAAAGCCACGGCUAACUACGUG